rnacentral:tRNA from 2 species
CCGAGCUUAGCUCAGUUGGGAGAGCGACGGUUUGUAAGCGUUGGAACCGCUUGAGUUCCUUGAAGAAAGUGCACCGUAGGUCGCCGGUUCGACUCCGGCAGCUCGGA